UACGGAGGGUGCAAACGUUGCUCGGAAUCAUUGGGCGUAAAGCGCACGUAGGCGGCUCGUUAAGUCGGAUGUGAAAGCCCCGGGCUCAACUCGGGAAGUGCAUUCGAAACUGGCGAGCUUGAAUAUGGAAGAGGGUCGCGGAAUUCCCGGUGUAGAGGUGAAAUUCGUAGAUAUCGGGAGGAACACCAGUGGCGAAGGCGGCGACCUGGGCCAAUAUUGACGC
rnacentral:rRNA from 1 species